AUGUCAUGGUCACAAUAGGAAUGGGUCACAUGGCUUUAUGAUCCCAAAGUGAUGAGUUCAUUGAUUGUGGCCAUCAAGUCACAUGUCAGCAAAUUAUUAGCUUUAUUGAGAGGUCUCAGUGUAGGGAGCACCAGCUUGCCAGAGUAAGGAGAGGGCCAAAUGGAUGGCAUUCAAAUAUAAUUCAAGGAUGAAGACUUUGACCUGCUACCAUGAUUCUUAGUCACUUUUGUGUCUUUAUCCCCUUUGAAAAUUGCAUUAAUUUAAUCUCCUCUGGGCAUAAGCACAUAUAUAACUUUUUGCAAACAACUUUAAAGAAUUUGUGUACACCCUCUAAGCUUAUCCAUGGAUCUGAGGUUAAAAAUUCUGAGCAAGAUGAAUUAGUAAUGAUUUAUACACAAUCUAUGAACUAACAUCAAAAUAGAUUUGUAAAAUGUAAUAACAAAAAGGAGAAAUAGACUUACUGUGGGGAGGUCUGUCUCUUAUCAACUUAAUUAAAAUAUUCAACUUAGCAUCACAAAAAGUGGGCCAACCUAGCAUUAUGUUCCUCCUGAUAGUGAUGCAAUAAAAAGUUGAAUUCAUAAUUGGUGAAGUAUCCCAACAAAAAAAUAUUUACUUUUCAUCUAAACAAGUCUUUAAAUCUAACUUCUAGUUGACAGAAAAUUCGGGAAAUAAAGAAACAAGCUAAAGAUAAAUAAAAUGAUAAAAUUUCAAAGACACAAUUAGACAAAUUGAAAAUGUGAAACAUUUUAAAAGACAACUUGUUUGGUUCCUUGAGAAAGUCAAGAUCUUUAAAAACCAAACAAAUAAACAAAAUAUCCAUGAGGAAUGCUCCAAAUUAAAAGAAACUAUAGGAACAUAAUAACCAAAUGCAAAAUGUGAACUUUGAUUGGAGCCUGGUUCAAAUAAACAAGCUUUAUAAAAACAAGCCAACAAAUAUUUGGAUAGCAAUUGAGAAAAAUGUAGUGUGAGCUAGAUAUUAGAUAAAAUUAGGGGGUUAUUGCCAUUUGCAUUAUAUAUGAUAAUGAUAUCUAAUAUGUAUUUAUAUAUAUUUGAUAUAUAUUAAGACAUGGACAUAUAUACCUGUAAAAAGUAUAUAUGGCAAAAUCUUGAUGUACUAUAUCAUCCUUUCAACUUUUCUAUGUUUGAAAUUCUUCAAAAUAAAAAUAGAAAAAAAUGAAUUUAAUUUUUUUAAAGUAGUAGCCCAAGGAAUUAUGGUCCUUAGUCAUGUAGCUUAAUAACUUAAAAUAUUUUGCUGGAAUUGCUGGUUCUGAGGAUCAUGGCUUUUUGGAGCCAAGACUGAACAUGUUUCAAAAGGCCAUUCUAUACUAAGAUCCCAGUGAAGCUCUCUCUUUAUUUCUUCCAUUCAUACUAGAAGUAAAUGUGAUUAAGAAUCUGUGCUUUUAACACUAAAAAUGUGGCAUUGCUUUGGGGAGCUUUGUAUCUCGGAGGCAUAAAUAAUGCUUUCUGGCAAAUGCUAAAGUUGAGUACUUUUUAAAAGAAAACAUACCAGAACUACCACUGGCCACCACUUCCACCACCACCAUGCUCCUCUGACGUAAUAAAAGGAGAUAUAUAGAAGUGAAGGAAAUGUUAUCACCUGAGAUCAUAGUUUCCAACUGGAAUUCAUUGAGAAAUAAUGAAGUUGGACUUAGAGAGUCACAAUAUGCCGGCAUCCCCAAGUCUAAUUAAGUCAGCCCGUAUUAUCUCAUGUCCCGUCCGGGGCAGUACUAUGUAAUGCUGCAGAUUACUGGGGAUUGCCAAGGACUUACUGCACAGUAUUAAAUUGUAUAGAUAAUGGCUUUUGGCAUUUUUGUUAGAAGGGACUGUUUUCAAUAUGCAACAUGAACUUACUAUAACUAGCCCCAAGGCAUCAUGAGCUGCAAGUUGCCACAUGAAAAUUAAGGGGGUCAAAUUCAAAAGGGAUGUAUGUUAGAAGGCUCUGGAAGAGGGCAUUGGCUUAAUAAGCACCCCUCAGAUGAACCUGUGAUUGCCACAGAACCUGCCAUCUGUCUUCUGCUGUUGGUUAGACUCCCAAAUACCUUUUAUAGCCCCCCAGUUGUGAAGAGGGUCCCCUGGGCUCAAUUGGAAGAGAAAUAUAUUAAGUUGGCUCCUCUUAACUGAAGGGGAAGGGAGAGAAGUGUUUAAAAGACUGCCUAUCUCUUGGGCUCUAUUUACUCUGUUUAAAAAUAUUGUACCUAGUAUUUCAGAAAUGGGAACUCUUUGAACCCCAGUAAAAUUCUUCUGGGGGUCAUCUGGUAUCCUUUUGGAGCAGGGGACUUGAUGCUAUUGUUUUAUUGGCAGCAUUUAUCAUUCAGUUCCACUUCCUAUUUUACUUUUUCCUUUAACAGGGGAUGAUAAAGUAGCAUCAUAAAAACAGACCUGCAGGUUUGAAUUAGUCUCCAUUCAGCUAACCCACCGUUUCUCAAUCAGAGUCUGCUACAGCCAGGCACAGGUUCUCUUUGCUAGGAUUUGUUCCCAGGGGAGGGAAGAAAGAGGCUUUCACAAGUGGGAUGAGGACGAUGAUUAGAAUACAAAGUGAACUCCUGGGAGGCUAGAAUUAAAGUGAGGGCAUAGAGGAGAUCAGGUACUUUCAUGUAGGAAAAGAGAGACCAAAUGUCCAAAGUGCAAAAGACCAGAGCAGAGUGAAAAUGGAGAAAUAUGGCCCACAAGUCAUUGAGAGAACAGAUUCUUUUUUUUCCUUAAUCAAAAGGCAUAAGCAAAAGCAAAAUUCAAAUAAAAGUUGGGGGAGCUGAUCUCAAUUCAGUAGCAGUAACCAUGGGGCACAAGGCACUGAAUUUGACUCAGGUACAAUCUCUGGCCGGGUAGGUCAGCUCAAAAUACUUGAGUUGUGUGUAUUGUGUGAGGCUAACUUUUAUUAAAGUCCUUACUUAAGUAUACAGGUAUUGAGUGGUGCUUUCUGAUCAUGUGACCAUUUGUUCUUCAAAAUCACCCCAUAAAGCAAGUAUUCUCAUUUUCCAAGUGAAAACACAAGAUGUACAGUAAACACUUUGCUCAGUUACAGAAUGAGCACAGCCAAGGGCAAUAGUAAUAGCUGCCAUUUCUGCCAAGCAAUGUGUAUACUUAACUCAGCUAAUUCUCACAAUAACUGUAUGAAAUAAGCACUGUUAUUAUCACCAUUUUACAGGUGAGGAAACUAAGGCUUAGAAGAGUUAGGUCAGUUUCACAAUAUCCUGCAGCUAGUAAACGUAAGAGACAGAAAUCAUACCCAGGAAGUUUGACUGCAGUGCCUAGCCUCUGAGCUGCUGUGCUAUUCUGCCUCUUCAUGUAGUUUUCACUACAUACAGUUGACAUUUAUUCCUGCUUAACGUCUCUCCGUAUCUUCUCCAUUGGUUGAGAAAAUGACUUGGUAAAAAGCACUUGGUAGGUCCAAAUUAGUUAGGUUUUAAACAAAUAUUUUAUAAAACAAUUACUACUAUAUAAGUUGGAAUAGUAGUUAAUGUUACUGAGUAGAUACCUUUAUCGACUAUUAAUACUCCCUGCUCUUGCUUAGAAUUGAACUGAAUGCCACAGAUGAGAAGAGGAAUCUCAGAGCUAGAACUCAGGAAACUGGCUUAAUUCUGAGUUCUGCUGUGUUCUCUUUGGGGAUAACAGUCAGGGAAUUGGGGUACACACUCACUCUUUUCAAACAUGGACGUCUUAGCUUGUGUCCAAAUUGGCUGAAAGCAGAGGCUGAGAAACCUGGAUGAUCAAACAGAGCCUGGGUGUGACAAUCAUCAUGGGUCACAGGUGACUGAAAGCAAGCUGCAAAAAUAGGUCUAGAGACCCAGAGCAAGGUCGAUAAGAGCCAGAGAGUAACACAAAUCUGGAAGCUGUGAAAUGAGAAAAAAAAAUCCAGACCAAAGCAUCCUAACUGAUGAAAUUUUCCCAGGGAAAUUGAGGUGAUCCUAAAAUAUUCCAGAACACUGAGAAUCAGAAUUAUUAUCAGACUUCUCAUCAACAGCAUUAGAAACCAGGAGACAGAGGAACAGCACUUUCAAAACUCUAAGUGAAGAUGAUUUUUAUGGAAGCCCUUAGUGGGUGUGCACCACAAAACAAGGCAUGUGAUCCAGUGAGCAGAUGCAGAAGAAAGGCAAAGACGACUUUUAAGAUUAAGGCAGAAAAAAGUCCCAGGAUGACAGCCUAUAGCAAGCCUAGAGGGCCUAUCCCAGAUGAGAGCAAAAGUGCACAGGGUUCCAGAGGGAAGUUGACAAAAAUCGAAGGAUUUUCUGAUAGUUUGGGGCCAUGGAGGAAAUUAUAUUGAAAGGUAUUUUAAGGUGUUUGGGAUAAAUUAGCUAUAGGUUAAAAAAAAGUAACAAAAAUAAUGGUUAAUUAUUUCAGUGUAUUGAAAAAUUAUAGAAGGAAAAAAGUAAUCAAGUUACUACAUAGUUUCACAGGGAAUACUAAUUUUUGUAGUCAUAAUAAUGAAACAUGGACUAUGGACAUAAUACAAAAUUAUUUUAAUCCAUCCAAGUUACUUUGAAUUGAAAGAUGCAGCAUCAUUUUCUU
rnacentral:lncRNA from 1 species